GACCAGGUGGCCGAGUGGUUAAGGCGUAUGGACUGCUAAUCCAUUGUGCUUUGCACGCGGGUUCGAAAUCCUAUCCCUCGUCG
rnacentral:tRNA from 1 species